GGAGGAAGAGGAGGAGAAGAAGAAGAAGAAGGAAGAAGCGGAUGAUGGGACUCGUCUUUUAAACCAUGAUGCUAAUUAAUUAAAACGAGCGGCCGACAGUUGCGUAAGGAGGAGGGACCACCGACCGGCAGAGAGCAGUAGGGUGCACCAGCUACCCAUCCGCGAGCUCACGCACUAAUUUCGUUUUCGGACGUAUCGCUGAGAGAAAGAGGAAGAAAGAGAGAGCGCAAAGACGCUCCAGGUGGAGAGUCAUAUUUCUAAAGGAUUACAACGGUCGGAGAUAGGAUUUCCUUAUCGGAGAUAGGUUUCGGCAGACUCAUCAAAAGAAAGAAAAAAAGAAGAAAGAAAGAGAAAAGAAAAAGAAAAAGAAACGACGCAGACCUUUCGCACCGUAGAAAAGUAUCCUAUGGUAGGUAUAGGGAUAUUUAGAAGAUCGAAAUUUAGUAAAGCUUCGGUCAUCUGGUCCAUCUCGUCACCUGCCUGUCUCUAUAAAGCAACCCCCUGUUGGGCACGCGUCAUACCACGAUACGAAAAUCGUUCGACGAACUGACCAUAUGCUCUCGUUUUCUCGGAAAAAGGAACGGACUGCGAUAUUCUUAAUCGUAUUUAUAUAAAGAUUUCUCAAUGGUCUAUGAAUUUUCAAAGAUAUCAUUGUAUUUUGCAAAGAGAAUAAAGAAAGAAACUAAAAACUAUGUAAGAAAAGUAAAAGGAAGAUUCAAACUGACAGAGGUAAUUUCCAUUCAUUAUAUGAAUAAAGGCAUUGCUUACUCAACACGAGGAUCGGUGUUACGCGAUCGAACGGAGGUUCGAAAGAGAAGCGAAACAUUUGAUUUUCCGGCUUAAUAAUACGCCCUAUGAUCCGUUCGAAACUAAAUUCGAGAAGCAAGGGAGCUCCGUGAACGUUUUCUCGAAAAAUGAAAAGUUGCUGGAGGCACGAGACUUCGAAGAGAAAGAAAGAGGGUGUAUCAGCUGUCGUCGAUCCCAGACAGAUGUUACCACCGUCCGCUAGGCGGUGUAUUCGCGUUCAUUGCUUCUCGAAAUUGUGUACCCUCUUAUAUCCCUCGAGAUACUUUUUUCAACGAUUUUUCCAGGUUUCGACCUGGUGUUCUCAGGUGAACGGGGCGCCGCUCCCAUCCUCGUCGUUUCCCUUUCGAAAGCUCUUUCGCCGCGCUGGCAGAAACGCAUCGCGGCAGGUUCGAGCUUGCCCGAGGGAGACUCGAGAGAAGAAAUCGAUAUUUCUUGUAAAUCGGUAGACUCGUAUUGCAUGUCUACUCGUACGACCAGUAUUUAUUUCUCUCUAUUUUACGUUUCUCUUCGCUCAACAGGUUAUACGAGUUCAGUGUCGAUUUCAGCCCUUACGCUGUAUAACAACUUAUAUAGCAACUCGAACUUUCUGCACGGUGCACGCAAGGAAAGGGUAUAAAACGACCCUUCGACUCGAAACGUGUCUGAACUUAAAAUACACACAUUUUUGGCAUAGUAAUGAGAUUUUUAUUAAAUCCUCGCCAUGCACGGAAACCAGUCCGGGCAAAUUAUCGUCCAGUCGAGCAACCAUCGUCAUUUCUACGCCUUAACAUUCGUAGGAAUACAAGAGAUACGUCGCGGAGAAGAAGUUGGUUAGAACGCGAGCGGCGUUACUUUGGAAAAAAUUACAACGGGGAUGGCAAAGGCGGUAGAACCAAGGAGCAGGUCUCGCAGGGACAAAGGGCAAGUAUAUACCGCGUCUCUCUGACCGAGAGCGAGAGCGGACUUGAGAAGAAGCAGUGAUUCUUUGAGAUUUUCGUACAAUGGGGAGAGACCUUACGCGCCGCAGCGGCCAUUCAUUGUUAUAUGAAAAAAGAGGAAAAACUCCGGCGCACCAGUCUCAUUCACGAUCUACGAAAUAGCGUGCAUUGUGAGAGGGCGUGCACAGAGGUUCUCGAUCGUUCCACGUGACCUAUCUUUCUUAAUCGUCAAACUUUACAUUUUUUUCUCCUUUCAAAAUGAGAAACUCUGUUACUUCUCGAGGGAUCGACAAUUUUCAUGGUGCUUUCAUUUUUAA